rnacentral:rRNA from 1 species
AGAGUUUGAUCCUGGCUCAGGACGAACGCUGGCGGCGUGCUUAACACAUGCAAGUCGAACGAUGAACCAGGGCUUGCCCUGGGAAUUAGUGGCGAACGGGUGAGUAACACGUGGGCAACCUGCCCCAGACACCGGGAUAACCAUCCGAAAGGAUGGCUAAUACCGGAUACGACCACUUUGGGCAUCCAACGGUGGUGGAAAGGAUUCUGGUCUGGGAUGGGCCCGCGGCCUAUCAGCUUGUUGGUGGGGUAAUGGCCUACCAAGGCGACGACGGGUAGCCGGCCUGAGAGGGCGACCGGCCACACUGGGACUGAGACACGGCCCAGACUCCUACGGGAGGCAGCAGUGGGGAAUAUUGCGCAAUGGGCGAAAGCCUGACGCAGCGACGCCGCGUGAGGGACGAAGGUCUUCGGAUUGUAAACCUCUUUCAGCAGGGACGAAGCGAAAGUGACUGUACCUGCAGAAGAAGCACCGGCUAACUACGUGCCAGCAGCCGCGGUAAUACGUAGGGUGCAAGCGUUGUCCGGAUUUAUUGGGCGUAAAGAGCUCGUAGGCGGUUUGUCGCGUCGGAUGUGAAAACCCAAUGGCUUAACCUUGGGCCUGCAUUCGAUACGGGCAAACUAGAGUGUGGUAGGGGAGACUGGAACUCCUGGUGUAGCGGUGGAAUGCGCAGAUAUCAGGAAGAACACCGAUGGCGAAGGCAGGUCUCUGGGCCAUAACUGACGCUGAGGAGCGAAAGCGUGGGGAGCGAACAGGAUUAGAUACCCUGGUAGUCCACGCCGUAAACGGUGGGCGCUAGGUGUGGGGAACAUUUCCACGUUCUCCGUGCCGUAGCUAACGCAUUAAGCGCCCCGCCUGGGGAGUACGGCCGCAAGGCUAAAAC